rnacentral:rRNA from 1 species
UAGGGAAUCUUCCGCAAUGGGCGAAAGCCUGACGGAGCAACGCCGCGUGAGUGAUGAAGGUCUUCGGAUCGUACAACUCUGUUAUUAGGGAAGAACAAAUGUGUAAGUAACUAUGCACGUCUUGACGGUACCUAAUCAGAAAGCCACGCCUACCUACGUGCCAGCAGCCGCGGUAAUACGUAGGUGGCAAGCAUUAUCCGGAAUUAUUGGGCGUAAAGCGCGCGUAGGCGGUUUUUUAAGUCUGAUGUGAAAGCCCACGGCUCAACCGUGGAGGGUCAUUGGAAGAUGGAAAACUUGAGUGCAGAAGAGGAAGGUGGAAUUCCAUGUGUAGCGGUGAAGUGCGCAGAGAUAUGGAGAAACAACAGUGGCGAAGACGACUGUCUGGUCUGUAACUGACGCUGAUGUGCGAAAGCGUGGGGAUCAAACAGG